CCGAGUUAGGGUACUCUUCGUGCCCGACCCCCAACCCUUUGUCUACCUGACCAGAUGUUGCUUCGGCAGGCCCGCCGCUCCGCGAGGGGUGGCCGCCGGGGGCCCUUACCGGCCCCGGGUCCGCGCCUGUCGAUGGCCCCUUCUAAACAAACUCUUGAUUAAACCGUGUCGUCUGAGUAAAACAAACAAAAUAAAACA
rnacentral:misc_RNA from 1 species